UGGGGUGUAGCUAAGUGGUAGAGCAUGUGAUUAGCAUGCACAAGUCCCUAGGUUCAAUCCCCAACACCAAAA
rnacentral:tRNA from 1 species